GACGAAGAAGUUCACGUUAGUGCGCAUGCUCGCCAGCUCGGCGGAUUUUUUUUGUUUGUUUUUGAAAAGAGUUUUCAGUCUUGAAUUACAGGCGUGCAAAGCUGACACAUUCUUGAAUACAGUAAUUUGUGUCGUUCCCUUCGACGAUUUUUCUUUUUUUAGAAGAUAAGCCCUCCAACUCGAGGACUUUAAUAGACGUCUGAUGGUGCCUCCCAGGAAAACGAUGACACCGUCGAAGCAGACAUCAGCUGUGGCUUCAAAGAUCAAAAACAAAAUUAUCAACACCUCCUCCUUCUUCAAGGUCUCCCUGAAGACCAACAACAAGGCCCUGGCUCUCGCUCUGCAGGCCCAAAAGGAGAAGAGCAGGCAGCUUGAGAUGGAGGUGGUGCUCCUGCAAAAACAAGUCAAGGAUCUCUGCUUCCAGCUGGCCACCAAGAAACACAACCAAAGGAAACUGAUGCUCAUCGUGAAAAAUCUCCAUAAUAACACUCUGCAGCAGCUGGACAUGAUGGCAGAACUUGUCUUUGAUAAGGAUUCUCCAAGGCUGUCAGAGAGCUGCCACUACCCAACAGAUAAAAACAAAGAGAACGAUGCAGCAGCGCGUAGGCCUGAAAUGUUAAGGAAUCCUUUCUGCCACAACAAAAACUUGGAAGCAACACUAGGUCUGCCUGAAGGAAACCCUCAUCUGGAUGUUUUAAGUGUCCUAACCAGAUGCAGCAACCCCUCUGAUAUUUUUCAUGAAAAAGCUGAGGAAAGGCGUUUGAGUCAACGUGUUCAACCCACUCAGACAGGAUCAUGUUGUCCUCCACGCAGCAGCCUGAGGAGUGAAGUGGAGCGCCUGUCCAGAGCCUUGUCCCAGUCCAGCUCUGAAAUAAACUCUGUCCUCUGUCCUCAGAACAAUCAAACGCAUGAAAACUCCACAACAUCCCUUUCUAGUGACGUAAACGCUCCAAGUGUGUCUGCCUCAGAAACUGAGCCUCAGUUAGCAAAAGCUGACAAUACAGUGCUUCUCAAUUCGUCGAUGGAGAUUACGUUGAGUAAUGCAGUUGAAAUUGUCACCGUUGAAACCAAAGCCAAGAAGAAAGGUCCUUCCUGUGAGACGAAAGGCACAAAGAGUCAACAGGUGGGUCCCAGUCCAGAUGUCCAGAAUGGUUUCAACCACAGACCAAAUAAGGAACCUGUGGCAAUUUCUACUCAAAAAAAUAAACCAGAAGAUAAAGACUCAGGAGUUCUUGAGGUACAGUUACCCAAAAAACACGCCAACAAUAUGAAAACAUCUCGCAUCCCCAAGCUUGUCAGUCAUCAGAAGACAUCCAAGAGCGAUACCGACUGCUGUGACACUGUCUCACAGGAUUUGGAUGAUUAUUUAUCCAACUCUAAAGUUAGCUUGUUGAAGGCUGGAGGCAGUGAACCUGAAGAAGGUUCUAAAAUCACCUACAGACGGUCCAGAACUAAAGUAAGGAGACGCUCUAUGGUCAUUCAAAAGACCCCGUCAGUCCGUCUGUCUCAUGAUGACGAGAGCCAACAGUCCAAACCGGAGAAGGUCCACGAUGAAGAGGAAGCAGAAAACACAGAGCCACCCCCACCACAGGAAUACGUAUUCCAUCCAGUGGAAGUGGCAGGUCUUGGGUCAGAGGAGAAUCACCCUCCUGUAGCCAGGAGGAAAACGCAGACCAGACCGAGAUGCAGAGGAACUUUUGUCAUCUCUGUUUCUAGGAACAGUAACUCCCUGGGUCUGGACAGUGACAUGAUGUUUCCUGGAGAACCCCACUGUUCAGCUGAGGAGUUGUUGGAGGAUCUGGCUCAGAGUUCUGGACAUUUCCAUGCAGUUCAGCAAACAGCAACCCGCAGCGCUUCAAAGCGCCCUCUGGUGGAAACAUCAGAGCAUAACAUGGAAGUCCUGCCAACAGAUGAAUGUGACCGUUCAGAGAACCCCACACGUAAAAAAUCCAGACGAGACGAAGCAGGAGGCUCCAGGAACAGGAUGACGUCAUCACUGGAGAAAUGUGCUGAUGGUUACGACUCCAGGCAAAAGAGAAAAACAAGCAAGAGCAGCAAAAAGGUUUUAUCUGAAGAUGAAUCUGGUCUGCAUCCUGUCUGCAGUGAUCAGCUUCUUCUCUGCAGCCCUUACAGUCUGGAGGUCAGGAAGGGAGGUGAAGAGGAUUCUCAGAUGCUCCUCAGCCAUGAUCAUUAUGACAUUGGUGAAAAUCCGCCUGAUCCUAAAGUCUCCAAAGGCAGGAAUGCUGCAAAACCACAAAGGAAGACAAAGCUGCAUACAGCAGCCGAAACCAGGAACCUAAGGGAAACGUUUGUCAUCCACAGACUGACAUCUCAGGACAAAAGCAAGAGUAUUUCUGUCAAUAACACAAAGACAUCCGUUGCUAAUGAUGAGACGGCUCAUCUGGAUGUCGGCUUUCUGCUAAUGGAUGUGCAGCCACCAUGGCUGCUUGGAGAGCUCAAUACUGUGGACCCAGAGUUCAAUUCUAUACUCAGCUCUCCAAACAGGAGCCCAUCAUGCAGGCUGGCGGUGACUGAGGGGUCAGCUAGAGCCUCACCAGCAGGAAGAGCUCUAACAUCGGUUACCAACACCUUUCCAAACCCAUAUGAUGAAAACAAAGGAAGAAGCAGGAGAAGGAACUGUGGGGUCAGCUAUAAGGAGCCACCACUGAACAGGUGAAAACGUCGGGACGCACUGAAAGGAACUCAGAGAGCAAUGCAGGCUAUGUGACCAGUGCUACAGUGACGCUGGUUACUCAAAGGAAACUUAGGCGUGGAGAUGAUUUUACAGACACCACAUUCCUGAGUUCUCCGGUGUUUAAAGACCGGAAGAAGAAGAACAAGAAGACGAAGCAGUAGCAGAAACCAGUGGGGUGGGCUGUGGACAAACAACAACAAAUACUUUUUCCUUGUGAUAAAUCCAAUGUUCUAGUUUCCUGCAGCUUUUCAAAAUGGUCUCAGAACGUUUGUUGUUUUAACUCGGCAUGUGUUCAAAUUUGUAGUGUUAAGACUUUUUAGAUUUUUCACAUUGUUGUCAUUGGGGAUGUAACAGCUGUUUGCUCCUGAUGGGAGGCCAGCUGUAAAUAAUUGAGUGGAAGCUGAUAACCUGAUACUCCCUGUGAUGUUCAGCUGCACAAGAUAAAGUCUCAGUGUAGCCAACCAUGUUUAGGAUUUGCUGUGUGAGCAUGCCAAGUGAAGAUCUCCAAGCUCCACUUUCUGCUCCAUCAGCUUGUGUUGUGAGUAUAAAUCUUAACAUUUUAGAUCUGUUGAAGUUUGUAUGGUUUUUUUUAUUAUUAAACGUAUUUAUCAGAAAACUUAAGCUUGAGUUAGUUGCUGUUUUUGGUAAUUCUGUCUGUCUGAGAUCAAGCCUCCUACCUGUUAAACUCAGAACUCCAUUUACCUUCAGGAAGUAUUCAGUCUAUAUUGGCCACGCUUCAGAAUAAUAAAUUAACAGCCGCUUUGUUCUGCUCGGCACUUCUCUCUGCACAGUGAAGGAUGGUUGUUUAAUCUCCAGGCAACUUCUGACAAACUUUACAGUAUCUAAUUGGUGCAUUACAUAUGUCACUGAUGAAUGUUAGCAACUGAGUAAAAUUUGAAACUUCAACGGAGUCCAGACCUCCAGGAAGCAAUUGUUUCUCAAUAGCUGAGAACCCGGGCCCUCUGGACGAAGCCAAGUGUAGUACAAGGGGCUUGUUUUCAGUCAAGAUAGCAAAAAAUUUCUACAGUAUAUUUAAAAUUUAGAACUGAAAAUCUCCUUUUGCUUUCUUGUAACGAUGGGUGCUUUCAGCGAAGUACAGUUUAUGCUUACAAAACCCAUUGGGCUUGAAUCACUAUGUAAUUGCAAUGAAUCUUUUCUAAGCUGUUCAUGGUUAGAAAACCAUGAACAGUGGUUUGUAAAUUUCAGUGUUUACAAAGCAAACACUGAAAUUUUUGAGCCCAUGUGAAUGAGUGCAGGGGAGGGCUUUGGUCGAUCCUUCUCUAUACCCACUUAUUCCUUCCAAGGGUUUAUGGGGGUGAAGCCAUUCUUCAGUGGUCUAUGAAUUCAUUUAGCUCCCAUCAUAGGACCAACACAUUUGACAAACAAGACAACCAAAGAUUCACAUACCCUCACACUUCAGGGCAAUUUAUACAGUCAGCCUAUCCCCACCCUGUGUUUCUGGGCUGGGGGAGGAUUCAGACAAAACCUACACACACCAACAGGGAGAACAAGCAAACUCAACAAAGAAAGGUCCAAUCUGGACUGAUGCAUAAACAUUUCACUCUGAAAAUGGAGACAAAGCGACUGAAGAGAGACGUUCAAUUACUCAUAAGUAAUUAUGUUGGUCAGAAGAUCCUGGAGAACUCAUUUGAUCCGAGUGGGAGGGGACGCACAACGGUGCUUGAUGACUUGGUUCAGUAUGAUCUUGAUGCCUUGUGGUUGAACAGAGACAGUCGACAUGUGCUUGAUGCAGACAUAAUUGGAGCCAUUUGCAGCUUAGGAAUUCCUCAGCAUCCGAAUCGCUUACAGCGAGAAGCAAUGAUCCUCUCAUGUUUCGCUGGAAUUAUUAUGAGCAGACUGCCAGUGGAGAAAAUCCUGGCUCUGUACAGAUGUAAGCCAGUUGUUUCUUUACCCAGCCAUCAGUCUAAGGGGUCAAUUGUAUGCCCCCUCACUCUGUCCUACCAUCCAUUUGCCAUGCUCAGAUCUUACAAGGCUGUACAACACGCCAAGAGACACAAUCAGAAGCUGAAAAGAUGGCUGUCUGAGCAGGCAAAAGCGAAAGCCCCAAAGAGACCCGUUCCUCCACCAUCUUCAUCUCCGUCUUUGCCUGAGUCCUUUCUCAGCGAAAGCAGUGGAUGUCAUCAGGAAGCAGCUGAGCACUAUGAGGGUUCACAAGAGUCUUUGCAGGACUGAAGCUGCCAUCCAGCUGUGUGACUUUGGUUGAAUGUUCCUCACAAUGGUUUUCUGUAAUUCUGGCCCAUUCCUCCCAACAGAACUGAACUGAUGUAACUGAGUCAGACAUGUAGAACCAUUUCACUUACACACACAUGUUCAGCUUUGCUCACAUUUUUUUCUAUGGGACUAUGUUUAAGGUUUUAUGGUCACUAAGAAACAUUUACUUUCUUGUCCUUAAGCCAGAAUGUAACUAAUGCAGAUAAAUAUUUGGAGUCAUCAGUUUCCAUCCAAGUUUUAACAUCCUGGCCAAUGUCUUUAGAUCUUGUUUUCUCCAUACCGUUGUUUUCUCAUGACCCCGUCUACUAUAUGAAGAGCGCCAGUCCCUCCACAACAUCAUGCUGCCACUUCAUACUUUCCAUUUCAGUUGUUUUUGCAAAUUUCCCCCAAUUAUUUCAUCACAUGUAAAAAGUGUUUAUGGUCAAACACUUUAAUUUUAGAUUUGUUCAAUGAGAGGAGAAACCCUAAAAGAAUUAGGAUCUUUGACAUGCAUUUAGCUUUGAUAUUUUAGUCUAUAAGAAGCAUACGAAGCCAUGACAUCAACAUUUUGUCUUUCCCCAAUUGCUUAAAGUAGCUGUUUAGUCAGAUUCAGUGUUGAUCAAUAAGAAAAAUGUCUGUACUUGUAAAAUAUAUUGGAGCCAAACUUACAUCUACCCUGUGUGGUCCAAUGGAAGGUUAACAUAACAUGUUUAAACUUAUUCUAUGUAGAGCAAUGAACAAACAGAGUUGUAUAAAUCUGAUAUCAUGUCACCAAAGUCACAUUUUCUGUUGGACUCCACCAGCUGCACAGUUAUUGUUGACCUCUGGCAUGUUCCCCAACAAAGAUUAAACUCCUCUGUGUUGGAUGGGUGGAUAAAAUGUGUUCCUGAUGUUGAUAUCAAUAAAGAGGGCAGAGAUGGUCAGUAA